UGCUUAGUCAAAACAAAGGAUUUUUCUUUGUUGCUUUAGAAAUGUUCUCCAGACUGUGAAGAGGGUCCUAUCCCAGACUCAUUUUGUGUCUCAUCUGCCAUUGUAUGUGAAGAAAAUGGUAUAGCUCACAGGCUGAUUCUACCUUUGGUGGUCUGUUUAUCUCUACCUGCAUGCCCAGGAAAAGACAGCCCCGCAUCACUUCUGAUUUGAAAUGAAACAGGUGACUGUUGCCAGCAGCAGUGGUAGUUCUCCUGGAGACCUGAGUCUUCUCCUGGAGGCACACGUUCUCUGCUGGCUGAUCCACCUGCCAGGAGCAGCAGUGUCUGGUUUCAGAGUUUGCCAUUCUGCACUCCUUAUGUAAGAUUGGAAACAUCAGCACCAAGGCAGUCCAGUGGAAAGCUCUGUUUUGCCUCAGUUUGUUUCAGUCAGCGAGACCUAAGUUCAUAUCUCCUCCCACAGUCUCAGGUAGGUGUCCACCUUCUCCAGCUGCUCCUUAAUAAGCCACUAGAGAAAUUUAAGAGCAA
rnacentral:lncRNA from 13 species